rnacentral:rRNA from 1 species
AUUGAACGCUGGCGGCAUGCCUUACACAUGCAAGUCGAACGGCAGCACGGGAGCAAUCCUGGUGGCGAGUGGCGAACGGGUGAGUAAUAUAUCGGAACGUGCCCAGUAGUGGGGGAUAGCCCGGCGAAAGCCGGAUUAAUACCGCAUGAGACCUGAGGGUGAAAGCGGGGGAUCGCAAGACCUCGCGCUAUUGGAGCGGCCGAUAUCAGAUUAGCUAGUUGGUGGGGUAAAGGCCUACCAAGGCAACGAUCUGUAGUUGGUCUGAGAGGACGACCAGCCACACUGGGACUGAGACACGGCCCAGACUCCUACGGGAGGCAGCAGUGGGGAAUUUUGGACAAUGGGCGCAAGCCUGAUCCAGCAAUGCCGCGUGCAGGAAGAAGGCCUUGGUGUAACUGCUUUGUCA